rnacentral:rRNA from 1 species
CCGUACCCUAAACCGACACAGGUAGUCAGGUUGAAAAUACUAAGGCGUUCGGGUGAACUGUGGUUAAGGAAUUCGGCAAAAUGCCCCCGUAACUUCGGGAGAAGGGGGGCCUCACGACGUGAAGGCCCAAGCGGCUGGAAGCGUUGUGGGGUCGCAGAGAAUAGAGGGAAGCGACUGUUUAUCAAAAACACAGGUCCGUGCGAAGACGGUUAAGUUGAUGUAUACGGACUGACGCCUGCCCGGUGCUGGAAGGUUAAGAGGAGUGCUUAGCGUAAGCGAAGGUAUGAAUUGAAGCCCCAGUAAACGGCGGCCGUAACUAUAACGGUCCUAAGGUAGCGAAAUUCCUUGUCAGGUAAGUUCUGACCCGCACGAAAGGCGUAACGAUUUGGGCACUGUCUCAACGAGAGACUCGGUGAAAUUGUAGUACCAGUGAAGAUGCUGGUUACCCGCGACAGGACGGAAAGACCCCAUGGAGCUUUACUGCAGGUUGAUAUUGAGUGUCUGUGUGACAUGUACAGGAUAGGUAGGAGCCAUUGAAGCCGGAACGCUAGUUUCGGUGGAGGCGCUGGUGGGAUACUACCCUUGUGACAUGGCCACUCUAACCCGCGACCGUAAUCCGGUCGGGAGACAGUGUCAGUCGGGCAGUUUGACUGGGGCGGUCGCCUCCUAAAAUGUAACGGAGGC